rnacentral:rRNA from 1 species
UACGUAGGGGGGCAAGCGUUGUCCGGAAUUAUUGGGCGUAAAGGGCGCGUAGGCGGCCGGAGGUGUCGGAUGUGAAAGCCCGGGGCUCAACCCCGGAAGUGCACCCGAGAUGGCGGGACUGGAGUGGCGGAGAGGAGCGCGGAAUUCCCGGUGUAGAGGUGAAAUUCGUAGAUAUCGGGAGGAACACCAGCGGCGCAGGCGGCGCUCUGGACGCACACUGACGCUGAGACACGAAAGCGUGGGGAGCAAACAGG